UAAGGACUUUGAACUGGAGAUUAUAGGAAGCUAUUGAAAAUUAAGUAUGGGGGAAGGAGGCAGGAAGUAUCUUUCCAGAAUAUUAACCUAUGGCAGUGUGCACAAUGCAUUGAAGGAUAUGAAUCUGGCAACGAAUUAAUGUCAGACAAUAAUCAAAUGUCAUAAUCACUGUGUGGCCUGCCUCUUGAGCUAACAUGAAGAUGAUCAUUAUAUGGAUAACUUGUGUCCCUGCUGUCUCCUCUAUUCUCAACUGAUUGCUGGUUUCUAUUUAUUCACCCCGUAUUAUUUACUACUGUUGUUUUAAUUGUGUGCUUGUCCCUCUGUUCAGCACCAAAAGCCUUCUGCUUCAUAUAGUUAUUUAUAUGUUUAUCUCCACCAUUGUAGCACCUCCCUGAGGAAUCCAAAUUUUCAGUUUGAGUCUGUUUCCUAGAGCAUGCCCAGACUAAGAUUACUGGAGCCUAGGAGAUCUCUAUCAAAGAAAUAGCAACCCUGCCUCCUAGUUCCUGAACUUGGCUUCCAGGGUGGAAUCUAUUAUUAAAUAAAUAAGGUAUUAACCAAAUCAAACAACUUUUAAUGACCCAGAAAAAUAAUUCAAUUCACAGAAAAAAGUCAAGAGAAGAGCAGACAUCUCAGCAACACAGCUUGCAGCAGAGUUGGUGAAUGCUGGUAAUGCUGUGCUUUCGCAGUUAAUCUUGCAAGAUUCCCAUGCAGUUUCCUGGAGAAGAUGGACCCUUGUCCUCCAGAAGUUUGUUUUUUUUGUUUUUUGUUUUUUGUUUUUUACGUGUGCUCAUGGAUGAGCAAAAGAACUAGAGGUCAUCAUUCCUUCAUUCAAAACUCUGGGUGAAAGGAAGCCAGCCCAUUCCUUCUCCUCUUUUCCCUACUCACCAACUCCUCCUUCCUCCAGCCCUGAGGCCUGAAUAUUCCUACUGAAGCUCUUUCCAGACAACUAGCCCAGUUGGGCCUUAUCAACCCUCCUGUGUCAAUGGAGGACAAAUGUCUCUUUAUCCAGAAAUCAGCCAACCAGAAGCCUACCCACUGAAAUCUUUUCCAUUUGGACCAGUAUUUUUAUAACCACAUCUGCUUUACUUUUUUGGUAAAUUCAGUGGUUAGGCUGAGAACUGUAGACAACCAGUUCUCUACAAAACUAAACACUAUUUACAAGGACUUCUCAAGAGUUUAAGAUGCC
rnacentral:lncRNA from 12 species